CUGUAACUUACAAAAGCUAUGAGACGAAUAGCUUGGCUUAGAUAGCGAUGAAGGACGUGGCAAGCUGCGAUAAGCUUGGGGGAGGCGCAUGCGGCCUUUGAACCCGAGAUCUCCGAAUGCAACAACGUUUACGCAAGUAAAUUCCGAGAGGAAAGCGUACGCCGGGAAUUGAAACAUCUUAGUACCGGCAGGAAAAGAAAAUAAAAAUGAUUCCCCUAAUAGCAGCGAGCGAAAAGGGAAUAGGGCAAACUGAAUCUCCUUUCGAAAGGAAGGCAGAGAUGUGGUGGAGGUUAAGCCCCUGUUGAUGAGCUGAAGUUCUCUGGAACGAGACACUUUAGAGGGUGAUAGUCCCGUAGGCAAAAUCAACGAGGUAUACUCUGAAAGAGUAGGGCUCCCUGGAUCGGAAGUCCGAAUAUGGCGGGAUUAACCGCUAACCCUAAAUAUAAAUCUAAGUCCGAUAGCAAACAAGUACCGCGAGGGAAAGCUGAAAAGUACUCUUAAUAGAGGGUUAAAAGACUUGAAAUCUCGUAGCGACAUAAUGGUUACGGCAUUACGGUGUCGUAACGUGCGUUUUGAAAAACGAGCCAAGGAGUUUGUGUAAGUGGCAAGGUUAAUGAAAAGAAGCCGUAGCGAAAGCGAGUCCGAAAAGGCGUUAGUCACUUAUACCAGACCCGAAGCCAGAUGAUCUACUCUUGAGCAGGACGAAGUUUUUCGAAAGGAGAAUGGAGGUCCGAACUAGUGCUACAUGCAUGUGCUUGGAUGAUUUGAGAGUGGGGGUGAAAAGCCUAUCGAAUCUGGCGAUGGCUGGUUCCUGUCGAAAUAUGCCUAAGUAUAGUCUUGUUGAGCUUGUUGGCGGGGUAAAGUACGGAUAGAACUUGCAGACCAUUUUUGGUACGGGGUUUCUUUCCAACUCAGAACUUGUCAACUGUAUUCAACAGGAAUGGCGGGCGGGGCGUAAGGUUCCGUUCGAAGACCCGAACAAGGGAGACUGGAGUUAAGGUCCCUAAAAAUAUGUUAAGUGUAACAAAGGGAGUCUUGAACCUAAGACAGUAGGGAUGUAGGCUUAGAAGCAGCCAUCAUUUAAAGAAAGCGUAACAGCUCACCUAUCGAGGUUCGAGGCCCCGAAGAUGGACAGGGCUAAACAUAUUACCGACACUUCAGAGGCGCUCGUGUUUGAGCGUUCUGGUAGGCAGGCAUACUUUCUGCGUAGAAGUCCUUUCGUAAGAAAAGAUGGAGCGGGAAGUAGAGAAAAUCUUGGCAUCAGUAAGAUCAAAUUAUCCUGAGAAUGGAUAGCGUCGUAAGAGCAAGGUUUCCUUGGCACUAUUGUUUAACCAAGGGUUAGUCAGCCCCUAAGUCAACUCUUAACUGCGGUUGGCGAUGGAAAUCCGGUUAAUAUUCCGGAACCGGCUGCUUUCGUUUAGUGCACGAUUUGUUUUUGGAUAUGUGGCAUUUCGAGAGAAAUGUGGUGUGCGAAAUAAGUGGAGCGUAAUGCAUAGAUACUUAAGAAUCACAUCAGGCGACCCAUAGAUUCCGGGAGCCCAUGAAAAGAUUGUGCAUAUCUUCAACUCGCAAGAGUUGGAGAGACAGAGAAUUUAUUCUCUGUAGAAAGUAGUUGGCUGUACCGAGAACUGACACUGGUGCUCUAGCUGAGAAGGCUAAGACGUGAAAGGUAUAAAUUGGUUAAGGGAACUCGGCAUAUUGGCCCCGUAGCUUCGGUAGAAGGGGUGUCUAUAGAAGUCCUUGAUAUGUAGAGGGCUUUGGUAGAUUGCAAUAACACGGACCGCCCGACUGUUUAUCAAAAACGUAGCCGAUUGCAAAUCCGAAAGGACUAGUAUAAUCGGUGAGACCUGCCCAGUGGUGGUGUUUCAAACCCUCGUUCAAGAGGGCUAAGACCCAUCAAACGGCGGACCUAACUAUGAGGUUCUUAAGGUUGAACUUUUAAGAACUGCCUUACAUUAAAUUAAAAAAUAAUUUAGUGCUCUAGACUUCAUAGUCUUCAAUCACGCAAGUGUUGAAGAGACAGAGAAUUUUUACAAUUCUCUGUAUUAGAAAAUGAUAAACAUAAAAACAAUUAGAGAAAAUCUAGCUAUUUGCUGGAACAUCCGAGAAUAUUUUAGUACUUUAGAAAUAAAGUAAAAAUCUAAAAUCGCGGACAAUCAGCAGGAAAGAUUAGUUAUUAAUUAACUAAAAUCCUCAGAGACUUUACGCUAGAAAUAAUUAAAAAAUAAUUAUUAAGAUAAAGUCCGAUCCUUAUAGCGAUAUAAGGUGUGUGUUAGAAUUAACAGACAGUAAAACUCGAUGAGCGUAAUGCCUUGUCAUCUGAAUGGUGACGUGCAUGAAUGGUUUAACGAGGUGGUCACUGUCCCUAACCAAAUCCUUCUGAAAUUAUUGACCGGUGAAAAUGCCGGUAUCACCUAGUGGGAAGCGGAGACCUUGUGAACCUUUACUGCAACUUGUUGUUGUAGUGUUAAGAAGAAUACAUAGCAUAAGUAGGAGCGUAGAUGUCUAGCUUCGGCGAAGACGGAGCAACCUUGUAAUACUACUUAUUCUUUUUGACAUUGCUCACCCGGGAGGGGACACCAGCAGGCGGGCAGUUUGGCUGGGGCGGCACCCUGCCGAAAAGAUAUCGGCAGGGCCUAUAUGGUAAGCUCAUCCAGGUUGGAAAUCUGGAGUUGAGUGCGAAGGCAAAAGCUUACCUGACUGUGUUUCGCACAGCAAGAAACGCAGAGACGAAAGUCGGGCUUAGCGACCCCACGUAGUUUUUUAAUAGGACUCGUGUGUGGCAGAAAAGGUACUCCAAGGAUAACAGGCUUGUCGCGCCCGAUAGUUCAUAUUGACGGCGCGGUUUGGUACAUCGCUGUCGGCUCUUCCUAUCCUGGCUGUGCACAAGCAGCCAAGGGUGUCGGAGUUCACGCAUUAAAAGGGAUCGUUAGCUGGGUUAAGAACGUCAAAUAUAACGCUAACGAUUCUGUACUAACCGCAACUAUCAAAAUACGCGGCGUUGCGUGCACUUCAACUUGUGAAAGUUGAAGUUCCAGCGGAACGAAGUUCUGCUAGGAGAGAAAUUGCACGAAAAAUAAAAUCAGCUCAUAUCGGUGAAACCUUUUUACUUUAAAUGUAGUAAGAUGGUAAUACCGAGGGAAGAUUAUAGUUAGAUUUAAAUAAGGGUAAUUUUUGAGAUUCAAAUGGAAAACUUGAGAAUCGGAACACAUCAAUUACCUAAUCAAGGUGAAAAUCUUGGUAAAUUAGUUGAAUUAGUUCUUAAAGAAGAUAGAACUGAUAGAAAGUUAACCGGUAAAAUAGUAAGAGAUGAUAUAGAUUCUCCUUAUAAAACAAUUAUUGAAGUAGAAGAAGAGGGCAGAAAACUAUAUUUUCUUGAUAAUGAAUGUCGUUAUCAAAUUUUACCAAAUCAAUAACUAUAUAUCCCCGUAGAGACUUAGAUUUUUUAUUGAAAAAUAAAAUAGGAACGUCAAUUCCGAAAAAUCUGGACUUGUAAUUAAUUUACAGGUAACACGCUGAUCCCCUAACUCGAAAGAGAAGGGCGAUGGUAUAGUCCAUACAAAACAAAUACAUAAGUUUUGAUUAAUAUACGCGAGACAGUUUGUAUGAUAUCUACUAGGUGCGCUAUUGUCUGAGUGGAACGAUCUCUGAGUACGAGAGGAACGGAGAUCGGAUGCCUCUGGUUUAGCAGUUGUUAUGAGCAGGCUGCGCAGCUACGCAUUAAUGGAUAAGUACUGAAGGCAUCUAAGUACGAAGCCAUCCGCAAGACGAGACAAUGUAGGCCGUCAAAGAAGAUGACGUUGAUAGAGAUGAUGUGUAAGAUCCAAGAACACGAGGAUUUCAGCAUGCAUCUACUAAUAGCCACAUAAAUUUCAAAU
rnacentral:rRNA from 1 species